GGGUUGUGAGGUUAAGCGACUAAGCGUACACGGUGGAUGCCCUGGCAGUCAGAGGCGAUGAAGGACGUGCUAAUCUGCGAAAAGCGUCGGUAAGGUGAUAUGAACCGUUACAGCCGGCGAUGUCCGAAUGGGGAAACCCAGUGCAAUUCGUUGCACUAUCGUUUGAUGAAUACAUAGUCAAACGAGGCGAACCGGGGGAACUGAAACAUCUAAGUACCCCGAGGAAAAGAAAUCAACCGAGAUUCCCCCAGUAGCGGCGAGCGAACGGGGAGCAGCCCGGAGUCUGAAUCAGCUUGUGUGUUAGUGGAAGCGUCUGGAAAGUCGCAGGGUACAGGGUGAUACUCCCGUACACUAAAACGCACAGGUUGUGAACUCGAAGAGUAGGGCGGGACACGUGGUAUCCUGUCUGAAUAUGGGGGGACCAUCCUCCAAGGCUAAAUACUCCUGACUGACCGAUAGUGAACCAGUACCGUGAGGGAAAGGCGAAAAGAACCCCGGCGAGGGGAGUGAAAAAGAACCUGAAACCGUGUACGUACAAGCAGUAGGAGCCCACUAGUUGGGUGACUGCGUACCUUUUGUAUAAUGGGUCAGCGACUUAUAUUCUGUAGCAAGGUUAACCGUAUAGGGGAGCCGCAGGGAAACCGAGUCUUAACUGGGCGUUAAGUUGCAGGGUAUAGACCCGAAACCCGGUGAUCUAGCCAUGGGCAGGUUGAAGGUUGGGUAACACUAACUGGAGGACCGAACCGACUAAUGUUGAAAAAUUAGCGGAUGACUUGUGGCUGGGGGUGAAAGGCCAAUCAAACCGGGAGAUAGCUGGUUCUCCCCGAAAGCUAUUUAGGUAGCGCCUCGUGAACUCAUCUUCGGGGGUAGAGCACUGUUUCGGCUAGGGGGUCAUCCCGACUUACCAACCCGAUGCAAACUACGAAUACCGAAGAAUGUUAUCACGGGAGACACACGGCGGGUGCUAACGUCCGUCGUGAAGAGGGAAACAACCCAGACCGCCAGCUAAGGUCCCAAAGUCAUGGUUAAGUGGGAAACGAUGUGGGAAGGCCCAGACAGCCAGGAUGUUGGCUUAGAAGCAGCCAUCAUUUAAAGAAAGCGUAAUAGCUCACUGGUCGAGUCGGCCUGCGCGGAAGAUGUAACGGGGCUAAACCAUGCACCGAAGCUGCGGCAGCGACACUAUGUGUUGUUGGGUAGGGGAGCGUUCUGUAAGCCGUUGAAGGUGGCCUGUGAGGGUUGCUGGAGGUAUCAGAAGUGCGAAUGCUGACAUAAGUAACGAUAAUGCGGGUGAAAAACCCGCACGCCGGAAGACCAAGGGUUCCUGUCCAACGUUAAUCGGGGCAGGGUGAGUCGACCCCUAAGGCGAGGCCGAAAGGCGUAGUCGAUGGGAAACAGGUUAAUAUUCCUGUACUCGGUGUUACUGCGAAGGGGGGACGGAGAAGGCUAUGUUGGCCGGGCGACGGUUGUCCCGGUUUAAGCAUGUAGGCGGAUGUUCCAGGUAAAUCCGGAACGUCACUAACGCUGAGGUGUGAUGACGAGGCACUACGGUGCUGAAGUGACAAAUGCCCUGCUUCCAGGAAAAGCCUCUAAGCAUCAGGUAACAUCAAAUCGUACCCCAAACCGACACAGGUGGUCAGGUAGAGAAUACCAAGGCGCUUGAGAGAACUCGGGUGAAGGAACUAGGCAAAAUGGUGCCGUAACUUCGGGAGAAGGCACGCUGAUGGUAGGUGAAGCGACUUGCUCGUGGAGCUGAAAUCAGUCGAAGAUACCAGCUGGCUGCAACUGUUUAUUAAAAACACAGCACUGUGCAAACACGAAAGUGGACGUAUACGGUGUGACGCCUGCCCGGUGCCGGAAGGUUAAUUGAUGGGGUUAUCCGUAAGGAGAAGCUCUUGAUCGAAGCCCCGGUAAACGGCGGCCGUAACUAUAACGGUCCUAAGGUAGCGAAAUUCCUUGUCGGGUAAGUUCCGACCUGCACGAAUGGCGUAAUGAUGGCCAGGCUGUCUCCACCCGAGACUCAGUGAAAUUGAACUCGCUGUGAAGAUGCAGUGUACCCGCGGCAAGACGGAAAGACCCCGUGAACCUUUACUAUAGCUUGACACUGAACACUGGUCCUUGAUGUGUAGGAUAGGUGGGAGGCUUUGAAGUGUGGACGCCAGUCUGCAUGGAGCCAUCCUUGAAAUACCACCCUUUAAUGGCUGGUGUUCUAACGUGGGCCCGUAAUCCGGGUUGCGGACAGUGUCUGGUGGGUAGUUUGACUGGGGCGGUCUCCUCCUAAAGAGUAACGGAGGAGCACGAAGGUCAGCUAAUCCUGGUCGGACAUCAGGAGGUUAGUGCAAUGGCAUAAGCUGGCUUGACUGCGAGCGUGACGGCGCGAGCAGGUGCGAAAGCAGGUCAUAGUGAUCCGGUGGUUCUGAAUGGAAGGGCCAUCGCUCAACGGAUAAAAGGUACUCCGGGGAUAACAGGCUGAUACCGCCCAAGAGUUCAUAUCGACGGCGGUGUUUGGCACCUCGAUGUCGGCUCAUCACAUCCUGGGGCUGAAGUAGGUCCCAAGGGUAUGGCUGUUCGCCAUUUAAAGUGGUACGCGAGCUGGGUUUAGAACGUCGUGAGACAGUUCGGUCCCUAUCUGCCGUGGGCGCUGGAGAAUUGAGGGGGGCUGCUCCUAGUACGAGAGGACCGGAGUGGACGCAUCACUGGUGUUCGGGUUGUCAUGCCAAUGGCAUUGCCCGGUAGCUAAAUGCGGAAGAGAUAAGUGCUGAAAGCAUCUAAGCACGAAACUUGCCCCGAGAUGAGUUCUCCCUGACCCUUUAAGGGUCCUGAAGGAACGUUGAAGACGACGACGUUGAUAGGCCGGGUGUGUAAGCGCAGCGAUGCGUUGAGCUAACCGGUACUAAUGAACCGUGAGGCUUAACCUUACAACGCCGAAG
rnacentral:rRNA from 1 species